AACGAACGCUGGCGGCAUGCCUAACACAUGCAAGUCGAACGAGACCUUCGGGUCUAGUGGCGCACGGGUGCGUAACGCGUGGGAACCUGCCUUUAGGUUCGGAAUAACUCAGAGAAAUUUGAGCUAAUACCGGAUGAUGUCUUCGGACCAAAGAUUUAUCGCCUUUAGAUGGGCCCGCGUUGGAUUAGCUAGUUGGUGGGGUAAAGGCCUACCAAGGCGACGAUCCAUAGCUGGUCUGAGAGGAUGAUCAGCCACACUGGGACUGAGACACGGCCCAGACUCCUACGGGAGGCAGCAGUGGGGAAUAUUGGACAAUGGGCGAAGGCCUGAUCCAGCAAUGCCGCGUAAGUGAUGAAGGCCUUAGGGUUGUAAAGCUCUUUUACCCGAGAUGAUAAUGACAGUAGCGGGAGAAUAAGCUCCGGCUAACUCCGUG
rnacentral:rRNA from 1 species